CCAGACUCCUACGGGAGGCAGCAGUGGGGAAUAUUGCACAAUGGGGGGAACCCUGAUGCAGCGACGCCGCGUGGGUGAAGGAGCACCUCGGUGCGUAAAGCCCUAUCGGCAGGGAAGAAAAGCGAACAGGUUCGCCUGGACGGUACCUGACUAAGAAGCCCCGGCUAACUACGUGCCCGCAGCCGCGGCAAUACGUAGGGGGCAAGCGUUAUCCGGAUUCACUGGGUGUAAAGGGAGCGUAGACGGCGGCGCAAGUCUGGAGUGAAAGCCCGGGGCCCAACCCCGGGACUGCUCUGGAAACUGUCAGGCUGGAGUGCAGGAGAGGUAAGUGGAAUUCCUAGUGUAGCGGUGAAAUGCGUAGAUAUUAGGAGGAACACCAGUGGCGAAGGCGGCCUGCUGGGCUUUUACUGACGCUGAGGCUCGAAAGUGUGGGGAGCAAACAGGAUUAGAUACCCGCGUA
rnacentral:rRNA from 1 species